rnacentral:rRNA from 1 species
UACGGAGGGUGCGAGCGUUAAUCGGAAUAACUGGGCGUAAAGGGUACGUAGGCGGUUUUGUGGGUCCACAUUAAAAGGCAUUGGCUCAACCAAUGUUCGGUGUGGAAACUAUAAAACUUGAGUAGAUGAGGGGCAAGUGGAAUUCCUAGUGUAGCGGUGAAAUGCGUAGAUAUUGAGAAGAACACCAGUAGCGAAGGCGGCUUUCUGGACUGUAACUGACACUGAGGCACGAAAGCGUGGGUAGCAAACAGG